rnacentral:rRNA from 1 species
UACGAAGGGGGCUAGCGUUGCUCGGAAUCACUGGGCGUAAAGCGCACGUAGGCGGGUCUUUAAGUCAGGGGUGAAAUCCUGGAGCUCAACUCCAGAACUGCCUUUGAUACUGAAGAUCUCGAGUCCGGAAGAGGUGAGUGGAAUUCCGAGUGUAGAGGUGAAAUUCGUAGAUAUUCGGAAGAACACCAGUGGCGAAGGCGGCUCACUGGACCGGUAUUGACGCUGAGGUGCGAAAGCGUGGGGAGCAAACAGG